CACACAGCAAGUCAGGAUGUCGAUUCAGCGGCUGGUUUGUGUCUACACAGGCACAUUGCACGAGCUUGCUAUAUUUGGAUUGGCUGCUAUCUUUCUGGAUAUGGAUCGGAUGUGAUCAGAUGUCCACGAGACGAGAGGAGGUUUAAUAAAGGGAGAAUUAUUUUUUGGAGCUACAUCAGAGACUUCAACGUCGGUUGGUGUUGGCCUUCUGCAGGCGAGAGCAUCAAGAAGAAGAGAAAAGAAAAAGACAAAAAUGAAGGUCAUUCUCCUGACUGCCAUCAUCCUCACUCUGGUCCCUGGCAGUAUGUUACAGCCCUGUCUGCAGAGGAAGAGCUACCAAUCAUAUGCAUCUUUUGUUCAGAGACACGUCCUGCAGAUGAGCUUCAACAGAAGGUCUCUGGCUGAUUGGGCAUUCUACCUGCAGAUGCAUGGUCUCUGUGGCAGAACACCAGUGCAGUCCUUCAUCGACGCCCCACUGAGUCAAGUCCAGCAGAUCUGUAGUCCAGCUGGCCGGCUCGUGUAUGCUAACUUGUGCAUCAGCAGCUUGUCCAUGAAUGUUUAUGAUGUUUAUUCCUCAUUCAGCACGUUUUGCAGCGUCCAAGUGGUAUUAAAUCUCCCACAGUAUGUGAUUGUGGCAUGUGAUAAUGUUGGAAACCUGUGCCUCCCGGUCCAUUAUCAGAAAAACGGUGGUCAAAUUCCGGGAAACAUACCCUGCGUAUAAGCUGAGAUGGACCCACAUUACCGGAGGGUUAGUGCAGCCUUGUUUCCAGGUGUCGGGCUAAAUGCUCACUGAUGUGUACAUUUUACAUCACGCUCAGCUAAAUGAAUGAUUUCUGCUUACAAAAAUGUAGAAAAACAGUUUUUAGGUGAAUUCAUUGUGAAACUGUUUCGAAUCCUGCUUGUUUUGCUUUGCAUAUAGUCAAAUUGAUGCCUUAAACCUGCUAAUCAACCUUUGAUUAUUAUGAUUAUUAGUAUUGCUAUUGUUCUUUAAGACAGUUAUCAUUAAUAACAAGUAGUUUCUAGUGUCUUGAAUCUAAAAUGUGGACACUCUUAAAUUACUUCUGCUUCUACAGUGGCUGUCUAAAUAAAAGAUAAACAUAUUUUGUAAUUCACAGCCUCCUAUUAUGACAUCAUGAUAUAUCAAGCAAGCUGAAAAGAAUAAAACAUGUUUUACACCACA